AUUGAACGCUGGCGGCAGGCUUAACACAUGCAAGUCGAGCGGGGUGAUGGUGCUUGCACUAUCACUUAGCGGCGGACGGGUGAGCAAUGCUUAGGAAUCUGCCUAUUAGUGGGGGACAACAUCUCGAAAGGGAUGCUAAUACCGCAUACGUCCUACGGGAGAAAGCAGGGGAUCACUUGUGACCUUGCGCUAAUAGAUGAGCCUAAGUCGGAUUAGCUAGUUGGUGGGGUAAAGGCCUACCAAGGCGACGAUCUGUAGCGGGUCUGAGAGGAUGAUCCGCCACACUGGGACAGAGACACGGCCCAGACUCCUACGGGAGGCAGCAGUGGGGAAUAUUGGACAAUGGGGGGAACCCUGAUCCAGCCAUGCCGCGUGUGUGAAGAAGGCCUUAUGGUUGUAAAGCACUUUAAGCGAGGAGGAGGCUCUUUUGGUUAAUACCCAAGAUGAGUGGACGUUACUCGCAGAAUAAGCACCGGCUAACUCUGUGCCAGCAGCCGCCGUAA
rnacentral:rRNA from 1 species